CUAAGCUAUAGCCCAUGAAAAUGUGUGGCCCAAGAAAACUAAAAAGAAAAAGGAAAAACAGAGUUUCUGCACCGUAGUCGAAGACUUGCUUUCCUGGUCCACUGCACUGUGUUAAUCGGAUCGCAAGGGUGUGAACAAAAUCGGCCCUUUAGCAAUUGUAUUGUCGGUUUCUUCACUCAAAGGGAUGCAGUGUACUUAUCUUUCAUGUCGUUAGGUUGCAAUUUACAUUUUACAUGGUACAAUCUAGAAGGAUGGUACAUUCAUUUUCAUGUUUUAAUUAUAAGUUUCCUAUCAGAGACUUAUGUUCCUCCACAAGCUGUGCCAACUGUGAGAAGAGAGAGAUAUGAAACCAAAGACUUGUGCCAGCCUUGUCUCUGCUAUUCUUUAUGAAAAAAGAAAAGAAAACAAAAAAAGGUUGGGUCCAUAAUUCAUUCAGCCUGUAAUUGCUGGAUUGGGAGAUGAACACAAGCAAUUCCUGUGCACUAUGGAUUCAAUUGGAGCUAGCAAAGGAACUAGCGAAAAUUUUUCAUGUUGCUGGCUCUGGGUCAGAGCCCCUUUAUGGUGCUUGUGAGGCGAUGUUCAAGCCUGAUAUGGUUUGUUGCUAUAUUCUUUCCAAACUGCGGAGCAAGAGGACUUGUUUGAGCCCAUAUCUGAAGCAUUGCUAUCAUCAGUAGAUCGUGAUUGUCUGAAUGAGUGGGGAUGCCAUUUCUAUGUGUUGUAAGCCUUUUCAUGCUCCUGAAUUUUCCUUAUAAGCAAUUUUAUAUGAGCUAUGUUGUAUAUACUAUGAGACCUAAUGAUCAAAAAAGAGGACUCUUGAUCCAGCAUAAUAUUUUAAUUUUACCUUUUUGUUUUCCUAUUCAUAAGUGGAAUUGAGCAGUAUAAGCUUCUGAAUUCAUUUCUUCCAUCUUCUUAGCAGCCUGAAAAGCAACUAGGUUUAUGUCUGUUUUGGCUGAAUUCAGCGAGGGAAAGAAUUUGUUGAUGCAAUGAAUUCAGACAAUAAAGCUCGUAUGUUUAUGUCCGCUUCGGCAUAAUGUUACGAAAGUAACUGAGUGUGACUUGUCCAGCAGCCACAUUAACACCAACUGAGGUAGAAAGGACUUGUAAGGCACAAUGGACUGACCUUACUGUAUAUGGCAAAUUCCUCGAAAUUUCUUCAAGUGGCUGCAUUUUCCCCUCUCAAGUUUACUUGACUUGAGCGGCCAUAAGCUGUUCUCAGUGAAGAUAUGCCUCUUGUUAUGUGUUGGCCAGUGGCUAGAGACAAACAGAUGGUUAGAUGAUUGAAUUUAUGUUGUCACCUGGAAUUCUGAUGCACUUCAAGUUAUACACUUUAGUAUGUUUUGAUUAUUCUUCAUUCAAUUACAUCAUUAGCCUCUGUUUUUAA